rnacentral:rRNA from 1 species
UACGAAGGGGGCUAGCGUUGCUCGGAAUCACUGGGCGUAAAGGGCGCGUAGGCGGCCAUUCAAGUCAGGGGUGAAAGCCUGUGGCUCAACCACAGAAUUGCCUUUGAUACUGUUUGGCUAGAGACCGGAAGAGGUAAGUGGAACUGCGAGUGUAGAGGUGAAAUUCGUAGAUAUUCGCAAGAACACCAGUGGCGAAAGGCG